CUCCUCGGGCCAACUGUGGAAAUAAUGAAUGACGAACUGUGGAGAGCUCAACCCGAGUUUACAGAGUACAACUACUCUCUUCACAUAUCACUAAUAUCACCUGAAAAGAAACCGAAAUCAGAAAGAAAUGUUCGAGAGACCCCUCAGCAGCCCCAGGAUGGAUAUUUAUAACCAGGAACCUUAGAACAUCAAGCUCAGUGUAUGAAAUGACUGCAUCUUCUGAUCAAUUAACAACCUACGUAGAGAACGAGCGAAAAAUUUAUUUAUUCUUUAGGUGAACGCGAUCAACGUGAAUCGGACAAAUUUAAUUCAGAAAAUUAUUCAUAUAAUAAUUUUGGUGAAUGAAUAAUUAGCUUGCUAUGUAAUUCUUUCUGGAAGAAAUAUAAGAAUACUUGUUUAGUAGAAAUUAUCAUCA